AUGGCUGAUCUCGAGCGUCUCAACAUCUCCUGCAACCUGACACGCACGCCGGCGCCGCUGCGCCCUUCGUGCGAUCCGCCACCGACCCUCCUCGCCGCGCUGGUGGUACUUGUCUUCUGGCUUUGGGGGAACCUGCACCUGCCCCCUUUGCCUGACGGGGCGCCCGACCCCGACCACCAGAUCCCGGCGAUUCCAGAGGACGCUGACGAGGCUGAGGUGGAAGCCGCUGCCAUACCUCCCGAUGGCGCUGGCACGCCUCCUCGAAGCGAGCGCGAGCCGUACGGCGACGGCGGGGGCGUCUCAGGCAGCGGCAGACAGGAAGCAGCCCCGGCCGCGGCUGCACACUUCCGGAGGGAUCCGUCGUCAAUCCGGUACCAGGAAACAGAAGGCGCCGCUGCCCUCCCUUCCGCUGGUACGCCUCCCCGAGGCGAGCGCGAGCCCUACGGCGCCGGCGGGGGCGCCUCAUGCAGCGACAGGCAGGAAGCAGCCCCGGCCGCGGCUGCACACUUCCGGAGGAAUCCGUCAAUCACGUACCAUGAAGUAGCAGGCGCCGACUCCGUGGACAUGAUCCGAGGAGGCUCGUGCGAGUGCGAUGCAGGGGCUUGUGUGGAAGUGGAACGACGAGCCUUCGUCCAUGCUACAUUCGACAGAUCUGGUGAGGCUGCUGGUAUCCUUCAGAAGAUGGUGGAUGGUUUUGGGACAAUACUUCUCAGCGCAGAUGACGUCGAAGAAUCCACAAUUCAUCUAGCAAACAGACAUCUCGUUGAAGCUCUGGAAUCAGCACAUGCCAUCGGAUGCACCGCUGAUUUUCUCUCUCAGAUGCUUGACGGCUGGGCCUGUAAGCUGGAGGGGGAUGCGCGAAGGAUAUGGCAGGGUGAAAAAUGUAGAGUAUACAUUUUCCUGUUCAGCAAUGCAUAUGAUGUUUUGCUGAUUAUGCGUGGUCGAGGAGCAGCCUUUUCAAACGAAGAACUGGAGAGUAUGCUCAGUGCGAUGUUCCGUCGAUACAAGGCCAGUUACUUGGAUGAGUGCUGGGCGCCUCUGAUGAACCACCUAGACCGUUUGGAUAAGUUUAGUGCUGAAUUUUGUAUCAUCUGCAGACGCCAGAUGACAUGCAAGGUUAAUGCUAACCUCAGGUAUAAGCUGCGGAAAGAGAUUGUGGGUUUGAUUGUUCCACCGUACCAGGUUUCAUUCUUGGCCCAGAGGAAGAAUCAGAGUCGGCUGUCACGGGUGCUACAUUGCCGAAAGCGAGUCAUGGCAGGAAAACAAAAGAUGCGCACUGCCGAGGAAUUGGAAAUGGUGAUAAAUGAUUUGUUUGAAGGAUGA
rnacentral:rRNA from 1 species